AUCAUCUGAGUCCAGCCCAGGCCAGAAGAAUCCCUUAGCAGAACUGUGAGCUCAAUCAAUGGCUUGUUAUAUCACAAUAGAAAACUGAGACAAGGCGGGUGAUGAAUGCAUCCCCUGCCUCAGGAAGAAACCCAGAAGGUUCUGCAUGGGCAAGUAGGGUCAACGGUGCAGCUGACUGGAGCUGGCUGAGCCAAUGGUGCUGCUGUACUACAGUGUUUUCUGGGCUGUAUCAUCUGCAACCGGGGUUGGCCAGAGUGAGAGAACUCUGGGAGUCUCCACAGGAAGUGAAUAUUUCCUGACCAGCUCAUUCCUUGCUGCCUCUCCAACAUUUUCUUGUCUACAACUAAAACGUUUUGCCUUGUAUGUUCCCGCCCAAGGCCUCUUGAGACAGUGGGUGUUUUCUUCUUUCAUUUUCAACUCGUGCCAAAUGUGUCAGGAGUUAAGUCCAUAAUGCAUAGAUCUUGGCCCCGGAUCUUUCAGGGAUGUGGCCUCUCUUUCUGACACAGGCCGCACACUAACCAGAUGUGUCUGAAAGUCUGACCCUUUAAGAGAUCCUGGCUUGGUGCUUCUUUAUAAAUGAAAACCCUGUUAAGAGAG
rnacentral:lncRNA from 1 species